rnacentral:tRNA from 1 species
UGGGGUGUAGCUCAGUGUGAGGUCACAUGCCUAGUGUACGUGAGGUCCUGGGUUCAAUCCCCAGCACCACAA